AUCCAGCUGACGUGUCCCAAAUGGGACGAAACGCGCGUCCUGGAC
rfam:Schistosoma haematobium scaffold2736_4, whole genome shotgun sequence.